rnacentral:rRNA from 1 species
GAUGAACGCUGGCGGCGUGCCUAAUACAUGCAAGUAGAACGCUGAAGGAGGAGCUUGCUCUUCUGGAUGAGUUGCGAACGGGUGAGUAACGCGUAGGUAACCUGCCUGGUAGCGGGGGAUAACUAUUGGAAACGAUAGCUAAUACCGCAUGACAACAGUUAUUGCAUGAUAACUGUUUAAAAGGGGCAACUGCUCCACUACCAGAUGGACCUGCGUUGUAUUAGCUAGUUGGUGAGGUAACGGCUCACCAAGGCGACGAUACAUAGCCGACCUGAGAGGGUGAUCGGCCACACUGGGACUGAGACACGGCCCAGACUCCUACGGGAGGCAGCAGUAGGGAAUCUUCGGCAAUGGACGGAAGUCUGACCGAGCAACGCCGCGUGAGUGAAGAAGGUUUUCGGAUCGUAAAGCUCUGUUGUAAGAGAAGAACGAGUGUGAGAGUGGAAAGUUCACACUGUGACGGUAUCUUACCAGAAAGGGACGGCUAAUUACGUG